rnacentral:SRP_RNA from 1 species
GAAGUCUGCCCAAAGCACGUAGUGUUUGAAGAUUUCGGUCCUAUGCAAUAUGAACCCAUGAACCAUGUCAGGUCCUGACGGAAGCAGCAUUAAGUGGAUCAUCGUAUGUGCCGUAGGGUUGCCGAGAUUUAGCUGUCGACUUUGGUUACGUUUAUGAUACGUAUUCGAAGCGAAGGUGCACGG